rnacentral:rRNA from 1 species
UGGGGAAUAUUGGACAAUGGGCGCAAGCCUGAUCCAGCCAUGCCGCGUGAGUGAUGAAGGCCCUAGGGUUGUAAAGCUCUUUCACCGGUGAAGAUAAUGACGGUAACCGGAGAAGAAGCCCCGGCUAACUUCGUGCCAGCAGCCGCGGGAAUACGAAGGGGGCUAGCGUUGUUCGGAUUUACUGGGCGUAAAGCGCACGUAGGCGGACUAUUAAGUCAGGGGUGAAAUCCCGGGGCUCAACCCCGGAACUGCCUUUGAUACUGGUAGUCUUGAGUUCGAGGGAGGUGAGUUGAAUUCCGGGUGUAGAGGUGAAAUUCGUAGAUAUUCGGAGGAACACCAGUGGCGAAGGCGGCUCACUGGCUCGAUACUGACGCUGAGGUGCGAAAGCGUGGGGAGCAAACAGG